GAUGAACGCUGGCGGCGUGCCUAAUACAUGCAAGUCGAGCGAACGGACGAGAAGCUUGCUUCUCUGAUGUUAGCGGCGGACGGGUGAGUAACACGUGGAUAACCUACCUAUAAGACUGGGAUAACUUCGGGAAACCGGAGCUAAUACCGGAUAAUAUUUUGAACCGCAUGGUUCAAAAGUGAAAGACGGUCUUGCUGUCACUUAUAGAUGGAUCCGCGCUGCAUUAGCUAGUUGGUAAGGUAACGGCUUACCAAGGCAACGAUGCAUAGCCGACCUGAGAGGGUGAUCGGCCACACUGGAACUGAGACACGGUCCAGACUCCUACGGGAGGCAGCAGUAGGGAAUCUUCCGCAAUGGGCGAAAGCCUGACGGAGCAACGCCGCGUGAGUGAUGAAGGUCUUCGGAUCGUAAAACUCUGUUAUUAGGGAAGAACAUAUGUGUAAGUAACUGUGCACAUCUUGACGGUACCUAAUCAGAAAGCCACGGCUAACUACGUGCCAGCAGCCGCGGUAAUACGUAGGUGGCAAGCGUUAUCCGGAAUUAUUGGGCGUAAAGCGCGCGUAGGCGGUUUUUUAGUCUGAUGUGAAAGCCCACGGCUCAACCGUGGAGGGUCAUUGGAAACUGGAAAACUUGAGUGCAGAAGAGGAAAGUGGAAUUCCAUGUGUAGCGGUGAAAUGCGCAGAGAUAUGGAGGAACACCAGUGGCGAAGGCGACUUUCUGGUCUGUAACUGACGCUGAUGUGCGAAAGCGUGGGGAUCAAACAGGAUUAGAUACCCUGGUAGUCCACGCCGUAAACGAUGAGUGCUAAGUGUUAGGGGGUUUCCGCCCCUUAGUGCUGCAGCUAACGCAUUAAGCACUCCGCCUGGGGAGUACGACCGCAAGGUUGAAACUCAAAGGAAUUGACGGGGACCCGCACAAGCGGUGGAGCAUGUGGUUUAAUUCGAAGCAACGCGAAGAACCUUACCAAAUCUUGACAUCCUUUGACAACUCUAGAGAUAGAGCCUUCCCCUUCGGGGGACAAAGUGACAGGUGGUGCAUGGUUGUCGUCAGCUCGUGUCGUGAGAUGUUGGGUUAAGUCCCGCAACGAGCGCAACCCUUAAGCUUAGUUGCCAUCAUUAAGUUGGGCACUCUAAGUUGACUGCCGGUGACAAACCGGAGGAAGGUGGGGAUGACGUCAAAUCAUCAUGCCCCUUAUGAUUUGGGCUACACACGUGCUACAAUGGACAAUACGAAGGGCAGCGAAACCGCGAGGUCAAGCAAAUCCCAUAAAGUUGUUCUCAGUUCGGAUUGUAGUCUGCAACUCGACUACAUGGAGCUGGAAUCGCUAGUAAUCGUAGAUCAGCAUGCUACGGUGAAUACGUUCCCGGGUCU
rnacentral:rRNA from 1 species